rnacentral:lncRNA from 1 species
CUUCCUGGAUGUCCUGGCUGGUGGGUGGACACAGGCCUCCUCAAGUGGCUCUGACAAGCGUCUCAUCAAUUCAAGCACAGCAGGAAGCCGGCUGUGGCCCCAGCGCAUUUCCUCCUAAUGGAUGGGAAAGAAAAUGUGAGGACAGCGGUGCCCUGGCGCGGGGCCACCCUCGGGCACCUCGCUCAUUCCCGCUGUCUGCACCUUCUGAGGCCCGAGGUGGACUUUUCGGGAGGCGGCCCAGGGAGCAUCGCCAGACCUCUGUGGAUUUGUGCUUUAUCCUUGUUUCUCUGCUCCGGGUGUCUGGGGAGGAUUUAUGGAGGAAACAACAUAAUGAGACCUGAGUGACUUAGAGCUUGGGGAGGUCGACCACAGCAUCUUCAGAGGGAAGGAAAUUCAGAUGGCAAUCGUCCCAGUGGAUGACUUCACGUGGUUUCCCUGGGGAAGCCCCGCCCCCAGCUGCUCCUUCCCGAGGCCCUACCUGCCCUUCCAGGCCCAGCCCAGUCCUGCCUCUCCCAGGAGUCUCCUCUGAGCUCCUGGGUCACAGGGAAGGGUCUCCUCACAGCUCCUGAGGCAGCUCUGCCCGCCCACCCACUGGGGUUCAUUUCUGGCCAGAGCUCCUCCCUCCUCCCCAGGGCCUCCUGUGGGGUCCUCAGAGAGCUGCUUGUCCCCCAAAGCUGUCCUUGGUGUCUUCUUAGCUGAGGACGGAGUGUUAAACACAUCACAGACAGGACCAUAGUAUCCCACACUACGCCAUAAAAGGAGAGUUACAACUUUCAACCUCUGUAAAUAUUUAAAAGUAAUGAAAUUAUACUCCAAGUCUUAUAAGACAUUAAUUGUAUCAAGGGUCUCUUGUAUAAAAAUAUGCAUGUAUACAUUAACACUAUAAGUCUCUAGAACCACAGAUAUGACACAAAAUUA